rnacentral:tRNA from 1 species
GGGCGCGUAGCUCAGGUGGUUAGAGCGCACGCCUGAUAAGCGUGAAGGUCGGGUGGUUCGAAGUCCACUCGUGCCCAUCA